rnacentral:rRNA from 1 species
UACGUAGGGACCAAGCGUUGUUCGGAUUUACUGGGCGUAAAGGGCGCGUAGGCGGCGCGGUAAGUCACUUGUGAAAUCUCUGAGCUUAACUCAGAACGGGCAAGUGAUACUGCAGUGCUAGAGUGCGGAAGGGGCAAUCGGAAUUCUUGGUGUAGCGGUGAAAUGCGUAGAUAUCAAGAGGAACACCUGAGGUGAAGACGGGUUGCUGGGCCGACACUGACGCUGAGGCGCGAAAGCCAGGGGAGCAAACGGG